rnacentral:rRNA from 1 species
UAACACAUGCAAGUCUUACGAAGUAGCAAUACUUAGUGGCAGACGGGUGAGUAACAUGUAGGUAUCUGCCCUUUGGCCUGGAAUAACACGAGGAAACUUGUGCUAAUACCGGAUAAGUCUUUACGGAGAAAGCUUUAUGCACCAUUGGAUGAGCCUGCACUUGAUUAGUUUGUUGGUGGGGUAAUGGCCUACCAAGACUGUGAUCAAUAGCUGAUUUGAGAGGAUGAUCAGCCACAUUGGGACUGAGACACGGCCCAAACUCCUACGGGAGGCAGCAGUGGGGAAUCUUGCACAAUGGAGGAAACUCUGAUGCAGCGAUGCCGCUGAGUGAAGAAGGCCCUUGGGUUGUAAAGCCCCUUUCGUCGGGGAAGAAAAUGACUGUACCCGAAUAAGAAGGUCCGGGCUAACUUCGUGCCAGCAGCCGCGGUAAUACGAAGGGACCUAGCGUAGUUCGGAAUUACUGGGCUUAAAGAGUUCGUAGGUGGUUGAAAUAGUUGGUGGUGAAAUCCCAGAGCUUAACUCUGGACUGCCAUCAAACUUUUCAGCUAGAGUAUGAUAGAGGAAAGCAGAAUUUCUAGUGUAGAGGUGAAAUUCGUAGAUAUUAGAAAGAAUACCAAUUGCGAAGGCAGCUUUCUGGAUCAUUACUGACACUGAGGAACGAAAGCAUGGGUAGCGAAGAGGAUUAGAUACCCUCGUAGUCCAUGCCGUAAACGAUGUGUGUUAGACGUUGGAAAUUUAUUUUCAGUGUCGCAGGGAAACCGAUAAACACACCGCCUGGGGAGUACGACCGCAAGGUUAAAACUCAAAUGAAUUGACGGGGACCCGCACAAGUAGUGGAGCAUGUGGUUUAAUUCGAAGAUACGCACAGAACCUUACCAACACUUGACAUGUUCGUAGCGACUCUAAGAGAUAGAGUUCGUCGCCGACAAACACAGGUGCUGCAUGGCUGUCGUCAGCUCGUGUCGUGAGAUGUUGGGUUAAGUCCCGCAACGAGCGCAACCCCCUUUUAGUUGCCAUCAUUAAGUUGGGCACUCUGAAAGAACUGCCAGUGAUAAGCUGGAGGAAGGUGGGGAUGACGUCAAGUCCUCAUGGCCCUUACGUGUUGGGCUACACACGUGCUACAAUGGUAUCUACAACAGGAAGCAAGACUGCGAAGUUAAGCAAAUCCCUAAAAGAUACCUCAGUUCGGAUUGCACUCUGCAACUCGAGUGCAUGAAGCUGGAAAUACUAGUAAUCGUGGAUCAGCGUGCCACGGUGAAUGCGUUCCCGGGUCUUGUACACACCGCCCGUCACACCAUGGGAGUUGGUUCUACCUUAAGGCAAGGUUUCAAACCCUUGACCACGGUAUAGUCAGCGACUGGGGUG